GAUGAACGCUGGCGGCGUGCUUAACACAUGCAAGUCGAACGGAAAGGCUCCUGCUUGCAGGGGUACUCGAGUGGCGAACGGGUGAGUAACACGUGGGUGAUCUGCCCUGCACUUCGGGAUAAGCCUGGGAAACUGGGUCUAAUACCGGAUAGGACCACAUUUUGGAUGGUGUGGUGGAAAGUUUUUCGGUGUGGGAUGAGCUCGCGGCCUAUCAGCUUGUUGGUGGGGUAAUGGCCUACCAAGGCGUCGACGGGUAGCCGGCCUGAGAGGGUGUACGGCCACAUUGGGACUGAGAUACGGCCCAGACUCCUACGGGAGGCAGCAGUGGGGAAUAUUGCACAAUGAGCGCAAGCCUGAUGCAGCGACGCCGCGUGGGGGAUGACGGCCUUCGGGUUGUAAACUCCUUUCGCUAGGGACGAAGCGCAAGUGACGGUACCUGUAGAAGAAGCACCGGCUAACUACGUG
rnacentral:rRNA from 1 species